UACGUAGGGGGCGAGCGUUGUCCGGAGUUACUGGGCGUAAAGGGCAUGCAGGCGGUCUGGCGCGUUUUGUGUGACAGCGGGUGGCUCAACUACCCGAGCAUGCGAAAGACGGUUGGACUUGAGGGCUCGAGAGGGACACGGAAUUCCGGGUGGAGUGGUGAAAUGCGUAGAGAUCCGGAGGAACACCGAAGGCGAAGGCAGUGUCCUGGCGAGUGACUGACGCUGAGGUGCGAAAGCCAGGGGAG
rnacentral:rRNA from 1 species